ACGUAGGGGGCAAGCGUUGUUCGGAAUUACUGGGCGUAAAGGGCAUGUAGGCGGUUUAGUAAGCUUGGCGUGAAAGACCACGGCUUAACUGUGGGGUUGCGUUGAGAACUGCUGAACUUGAGUUACGGAGAGGGAGCUAGAAUUCCUGGUGUAGAGGUGUAAUGUGUAGAGAUCAGGAAGAAUACCGAUGGUGAAGGCAAGCUUCUGGCCUAUAACUGACGCUGAGGUGCGAAAGUGUGGGGAUCAAACUG
rnacentral:rRNA from 1 species